UUGGGAGAUGUAUAGUCCUCUUAUGAGGCUAUUUAUGUUUAAUAAGGAGUAUAAUAUAUACUUAAUCUUAUGAAAACAUAAAACCAACUACGUUGGCUAAAGUUCUAGAUAGAAUACUGAUUGUGACAAUUUUCUAUCUACUUGUCUUGACCAAAUUACGUGCCAGCAGUCGCGGUAAUACGUAAAAGACUAGUGUUAUCCAUCUUUAAUAGGUUUAAAGGGUACCUAGACGGCGAUUAUUAACCUUAGAUACGGAUAUAAUUCUUGCUAGAGUUUGAUAAGAGAAGGGGAGUAUUUACGGAGUAGGGAUGAAAUUCGUUGAUACCCUAAGGACUGGCAAUGGCGAAAGCGACCUUUUAUGUAAAAACUGACGUUGAGGGACGGAGGCUUGGAUAGCGAACAGGAUUAGAUACCCUAGUAGUCUUUGCAGAGAAUGAUGAAUGCCAUAGAUUAGAUAAAUUUAGUUUAUAAAUGAAAGUGUAAGCAUUCCACCUCAAGAGUAAUGUGGCAACGCAGGAACUGAAAUCAUUAGACCGUUUCUGAGAACAGUAGUGAAGUAUGUUAUUUAAUUCGGUAAUCCUCGAAAAACCUUACCACAACUUGAAUAGCAUCAUGCCACUAUGAGGUAGAAAAGAAGGGAGUUAUACACCAGUGACCUCCUUCGGCACCAAAAAUAGAAAAGGUAGAAGUAUAAAUAGAUGUGCCCUUUACGUCUGUAAAUGGUAUUUCGCGUUUAUACGUUUAUCAGGGUGAUGUUACAUAUGUUGCACGGUUGUCUUCAGCUAAUGUCGUGAGAUUUUGGUUAGUUCCAUAAAAUUAGCGUAAACCCCGGCUUUAUUUUUAAAUUAUUAACAUAAAGCAGUUCAUCACUACAUUGAAUAUAUGAUAA
rnacentral:rRNA from 1 species